GCAUGAAUCUGCCCGAUAGUGGAAUAACCUGGGGACCCCCAGGCUAAUACCGCAUACCUCCUACGGGAGAAAGCAGGGGAUCUUCAAACCUUGCGCUAUCGGAUGAGCCCAUGUCGGAUUAGCUUGUUGGUGAGGUAAUGGCUCCAAGGCGACGAUCCGUAGCUGGUCUGAGAGGAUGAUCAGCCACAUCGGGACUGAGACGCGGCCCGAACUCCUACGGGAGGCAGCAGUGGGGAAUAUUGGACAAUGGGCGAAAGCCUGAUCCAGCCAUGCCGCGUGUGUGAAGCUGGCCCUCGGGUUGUAUAGCACUUUCAGUGGGGAAGAAAGCCUUGGGAUUAAUACUCCCGAGGAACGACAUCACCCACAGAAGAAGCACCGGCUAACUCCGUGCCAGCAGCCGCGGUAAUACGGAGGGUGCGAGCGUUAAUCGGAAUUACUGGGCGUAAAGCGCGCGUAGGCUAUCUGAUAGGUUGUGAAAGCCCCGGGCUCAACCUGGGAACGGCAUCCGGAACUGUCAGGCUAGAGUGCAGGAGAGGAAGGUAGAAUUCCCGGUGUAGCGGUGAAAUGCGUAGAGAUCGGGAGGAAUACCAGUGGCGAAGGCGGCCUUCUGGACUGACACUGACGCUGAGGUGCGACAGCGUGGAAACAGGAUUAGAUACCCUGGUAGUCCACGCCGUAAACGAUGUCGACUAGCCGUUGGGGUCCUUGAGACCUUUGUGGCGCAGUUAACGCGAUAAGUCGACCGCCUGGGGAGUACGGCCGCAAGGUUAAAACUCAAAUGAAUUGACGGGGGCCCGCACAUCCGGUGGAGUGGUUUAAUUCGAUGCAUCGCGAAGAACCUUACCUACCCUUGACAUCGAGAGAACUUGGCAGAGAUGCCUUGGUGCCUUCGGGAACUCUCAGACAGGUGCUGCAUGGCUGUCGUCACUUCGUGUUGUGAAAUGUUGAGUUAAGUCCCGUAACGAGCGCUACCCUUGUCCUUAUUUGCCAGCGCGUAAUGGUGGGAACUCUAAGGAGACUGCCGGUGACAAACUAGAGGAAGGUGGGGACGACGUCAAGUCAUCAUGGCCCUUACGGGUAGGGCUACACCUACAAUGGACGGUACAAAGGGUUGCAAAGCCGCGAGGUUGAGCUAAUCCCAUAAAGCUGUUCUCAGUCCGGAGAGUCUGCAACUCGACUCCGUGAAGGAAUCGCUAGUAAUCGUGAAUCAGAAUGUCACGGUGAAUACGUUCCCGGGCCUUGUACACACCGCUCGUCACACCA
rnacentral:rRNA from 1 species